rnacentral:rRNA from 1 species
CCUACGGGAGGCAGCAGUAGGGAAUAUUGCUCAAUGGGGGAAACCCUGAAGCAGCAACGCCGCGUGGAGGAUGAAGGUUUUAGGAUUGUAAACUCCUUUUGUUAGAGAAGAUUAUGACGGUAUCUAACGAAUAAGCACCGGCUAACUCCGUGCCAACAGCCGCGGUAAUACGGAGGGUGCAAGCGUUACUCGGAAUAACUGGGCGUAAAGAGUGCGUAGGCGGGGUGAUAAGUCAGAUGUGAAAUCCUGUAGCUUAACUACAGAACUGAAUUUGAAACUGUUACUCUGGAGUGUGGGAGAGGUAGGUGGAAUUCUUGGUGUAGGGGUGAAAUGCGUAGAGAUCAAGAAGAAUACUCAUUGCGAAGGCGGCCUGCUGGAACAUUACUGACGCUGAUGCACGAAAGCGUGGGGAGCAAACAGGAUUAGAUACCCGAGUAGUC